CAGGGAGGUAGUGACAAGAAAUAGCAAUAUGCCGCGAAAGUGCGGUAAUUGCAAUGAGUUGAUGUUAAAUCCCUCAACGAGAAACAAUUGGAGGGCAAGUCUGGUGCCAGCAGCCGCGGUAAUUCCAGCUCCAAUAGCAUAUAUUAAAGUUGUUGCAGUUAAAAAGCUCGUAGUUGGAUUUCUGUUUGGAUCUGGAUAUGAGACUUAUGUCGAAUUUUCAGACCAACCUUUUUUCUUCUACUCCUGUUAGCAAUAACAGUGGGGUAGAGCCUUUUUUUUGAAAAAAUUAGAGUGUUUCAAGCAAGCUUUUGCUUUGAAUACUACAGCAUGGAAUAAUACAAUAGGACUUCGGGCCUAUUUGUUGGUUUCUGGCCUGAAGUAAUGAUUAAUAGGGACAGUUGGGGGCAUUCGUAUUCGACAGUCAGCGGUGAAAUGCUUUGAUUUGUCGAAGACGAACUACUGCGAAACCAUUUCCCAAAGAUGUUUUCAUUAAUCAAGAACGAAAGUUAGGGGAUCGAAGAGGAUUAUAUCCCCUCGUAGUCUCACCCAUAAACUAUGCCGACUAGAGAUUGGAGGACGUCCUUAAUGUCUCCUUCAACACCUUGAGAGAAAUCAAAGUCUUUG
rnacentral:rRNA from 1 species